rnacentral:rRNA from 1 species
GGUUAGCCGCGGGCACUUCGGCCAGACGCUGCGUGAUGGCACAGCGGCGGCGCCUAGUCCGCCGCCGGGCGCCAACGACUCCGAGGUGAAGGGGGCGAUAGUGUUCACGUUGGUGCUCAUGGCGAUCCUGGGCGGCACACUCAGCGUGGUCGCCCUUGAGCGCCUCAUCCGCGGCCGCUUCACCCUCUUCUCCGUCGUGCGCACCCUGUUGCGCUCCACCUUCGUCCUCUUCCUCCCCCUGCUCUCCUACUUGUUCUCCCACUCGCAGGGGCACCAGGAGGAGCUCCUCUUCUUGCUCCUGUGGAUGCUCCUCAUCGAGCUCAUCCGCAAGAAGGUGCACGCAAUGGUGCAGUCGUCCGCCGAUGGCUCCUUCUCCAGGGCCUCCGGCCGGUUCCGGCUCAUGGACCACUCUGAUGAGGCUACUCGCCUGGUUUGGAUCGGCUACCUCAUGUACUCAAACAUCGACACAAAUGAUGAUAAGGGACAGAUGGGGGCACUCUUCGUCAUCCUAUGGUCACUGGCCCUGGCGAAGCUAGGGCAAAGGGUGCUCAACAAAUGGAUGGCACAGGACUCGCUGACGGCAGCGGGAAACACUCACCUCAUUGCAGGCUACAUGCAGCAUAUCAUAUAGGAGCACGGUAGAUCCCCUUACCCUUAUGGCGACAUUACCAAGUGCAAGUACAUGGUGAUGGGAGAGGAGAAGCUCAUGCUCAAGACAAAGGAUAGGAGAAAAGAGGAUGGGCCAUGGAGGAAUUCUGAUCCCAAGGUACGACGGACCACCUUACACUUUGGCUACGGCGUCGGGAGGUUCCCUGAUGGCCAAGAUGUCCAGAAGCACGUUCAUCUGCUCAUUGACGCCAGCAAGAUCAAGGACUUGGUGACCGUAAAGACCAUAUUGGAGAAAAUACCAACUUUUGAACUAUGCUGCUUCAGCACCAAGAGGUGGCGACGCCUAUGCCUCGGCUUCUCUCUAUUCAAGCUGAUGCGACGGCGGUUCGAGCACUAUCCCAUGGUUGAGGUUGGCUCAGAGAUGGCACGAGGGAUAAUGCUCCAUGGCCUACUCGCCCUCGAGGGAGAGAGCAACGUGGAAGACAACGCCCAUGCGGUAUUUCGGGUGCUCCAGCUAGAGCUCGACUUCCUCGACAACUACUACCAGGACGGCGUCCUGGUUGUGAUGUCCGCUCCUUGGCUUUUCAUCUUCAACUUCUUCUUCUCCAUCCUCUUCGUCUUGAUAUACAUCCUAGCCAUCUUUGCCAUCGUGGUCACUUACGACGCCAUCUUUGCCAUCGUGGUCACUUACGACGGCAACAAAACCCUGCUUCUUUACUUCAUCAUCGCCCUGCUGCUGGUGAUGGCCAUCCUUGCCAUUGAAGUCACGGAGUUCCUCACCUUAUAUCUUCUCUCCAACUGGUUCCUAGUGCACCUGCUAUGCUUGUACAUAGCUCCGGGGAACUGCCUUUGGAACUGGCUGUUCAAGCCGAUCAUUGGCUGCUUCAUUGUAGCACGCUUCUUGGUGGUGCCUGCACUUGGCCUCAUAUUUAGACUUUUGUGCAGACCUGUUAAUACCAAGAACAUCAAGAUUAGGCAGGUGUCCAUUCUCCAAGUUUGUGAGCCAGUCCACAAAAUGCUAGCAUGGACCUCUCAGGCCACACUACCAGCCAAGGCCAAGGUUGACAUCGUCAAGGCCUUGAAGAGCAUCAACCCCGGCACUUACAAUGUUUCACUACCACAGAUACAUGGCCUCCACAGUCUUGGUAAGACUUCUACGGAGAUCAUCCUACAAUGUCACCUAGCCACGGAGCUCCUGGACAUGCAUGUAAAGCGAGCAAAGGACAACAGCAAGAAGAAGAAGAAGAAGAUCGACGAGGAAAACGACCACCGAAUUGUGACAACGAGACUAUCGAGAUACUGCAUGUACCUUGUGGCACGCACACCGGAGCUUCUGCCGGACAAUGAGAUCUGGGUAUCAGACAGGUAUGAUGACAUGAGAAGCUGUCUGAAGAAAGUGUCAAGCCGGUGCUUCUGCGGCUUGCCCUGGCAAGCGCUGCUCGACAUGGACGCUGAAUCAACGGAGCGUCUCCAAGACCCAACGGCGCGGGAUGGCGUGAAGUUGUUUCAGAGGCGCAGGGAGUGCGCUGACAAGGACAAGGGCAGGAUGUGGGAGGAAAUGGCCCAAUUCUGGGUCGACCUCAUUAUUUACCUGGCCCCGUCCAAUGACGUCGAAGGUCAUGCCAAGGCACUGGCGUCGUCAGGCGGCGACCUCAUCACUUGCCUCUGGGCGUUUUGCACUCAUGCAGGUAUUAGUCGACCUCGAACCCCCAUCACCGAUGCCAAUCAAGAGGUGUGA